UACGUAGGGGGCAAGCGUUGUCCGGAAUCAUUGGGCGUAAAGCGCGUGUAGGCGGCUCGGUAAGUCUGUUCUGAAAGUCCAGGGCUCAACCCUGGGAUGCGGAUGGAUACUGUCGAGCUCGAGUCCGGAAGAGGCGAGUGGAAUUCCUGGUGUAGCGGUGAAAUGCGUAGAUAUCGGGAGGAACAUCAGUGGCGAAGGCGGCUACCUGGCCCAAUACUGACACUCAGGUGCGACAGCGUGGGGAGCAAACAGG
rnacentral:rRNA from 1 species